ACUCAAAUGAAUUGACGGGGGCCCGCACAAGCGGUGGAUUAUGCGGUUUAAUUCGUAACUACGCGAAGAACCUUACCAACCCUUGACAUGGUGGUCGCGAGAUCCAGAGAUGGAUUUCUUCAGUUCGGCUGGACCACACACAGGUGUUGCACGGCUGUCGUCAGCUCGUGUCGUGAGAUGUUGGGUUAAGUCCCGCAACGAGCGCAACCCUCAUCUUUAGUUGCCAGCGAGUAAUGUCGGGAACUCUAAAGAAACUGCCGGUGAUAAGCCGGAGGAAGGUGGGGACGAUGUCAAGUCAUCAUGGCCCUUACGGGUUGGGCUACACGCGUAAUACAAUGGUGGUGACAAUGGGAAGCAAUAGGGUGACCUGGAGCAAAUCCGUUAAAAGCCAUCUCAGUUCAGAUUGCACUCUGCAACUCGAGUGCAUGAAGUCGGAAUCGCUAGUAAUCGUGGAUCAGCAUGCCACGGUGAAUACGUUCUCGGGCCUUGUACACACCGCCCGU
rnacentral:rRNA from 1 species